GUAGGUGAACCUGCGGAAGGAUCAUUAACAAAUGUUUCCCCAACCUCUCCACGUUUUGUGCACCGUUAUCAAUGCCAUGGCGAGCCCUGCACUCACCCGGGUGCAGACUCGCCAUUUGUCCACGUCUCUGAUCAUUGUUGAACUGAACUUUAUACCAAAAUAUAAAGACAACUUUUAGCAACGGAUCUCUAGGCUCUC
rnacentral:misc_RNA from 1 species